rnacentral:rRNA from 1 species
GGUAGGGUUCUUCGGAACUUGAGACCGGCGCACGGGUGCGUAACGCGUAUGCAAUCUACCUUUUACAGAGGGAUAGCCCAGAGAAAUUUGGAUUAAUACCUCAUAGCAUAUAAACCUGGCAUCAGGAUUAUAUUAAAGUCACAACGGUAAAAGAUGAGCAUGCGUCCCAUUAGCUAGUUGGUAAGGUAACGGCUUACCAAGGCUACGAUGGGUAGGGGUCCUGAGAGGGAGAUCCCCCACACUGGUACUGAGACACGGACCAAACUCCUACGGGAGGCAGCAGUGAGGAAUAUUGGACAAUGGGCGCAAGCCUGAUCCAGCCAUGCCGCGUGCAGGAUGACGGCCCUAUGGAUUGUAAACUGCUUUUAUACAGGAAGAAACAUCCCUACGUGUAGGGACUUGACGGUACUGUAAGAAUAAGGAUCGGCUAACUCCGUGCCAGCAGCCGCGGUAAUACGGAGGAUCCAAGCGUUAUCCGGAAUCAUUGGGUUUAAAGGGUCCGUACGCGGUUUAGUAAGUCAGAGGUGAAAGCCCAUCGCUCAACGGUGGAACGGCCAUUGAUACUGCUGAACUUGAAUUAUUACGAAGUAACUAGAAUAUGUAGCUGUAGCGGUGAAAUGCUUACAGAUUACAUGGAAUACCAAUUGCGAAGGCAGGUUACUACUAAUUGAUUGACGCUGAUGGACGAAAGCGUGCGUAGCGAACAGGAUUAGAUACCCUGGUAGUCCACGCCGUAAUCGAUGGAUACUAGCUGUUGGAAGCAAUCUCAGUGGAUAAGCGAAAGUGAUAAGUAUCCCACCUGGGGAGUACGUUCGCAAGAAUGAAACUCAAAGGAAUUGACGGGGGCCCGCACAAGCGGUGGAGCAUGUGGUUUAAUUCGAUGAUACGCGAGGAACCUUACCAAGGCUUAAAUGUAGAUUGACCGCUUUGGAAACAGAUCUUUCGCAAGACAAUUUACAAGGUGCUGCAUGGUUGUCGUCAGCUCGUGCCGUGAGGUGUCAGGUUAAGUCCUAUAACGGAGCGCAACCCCUGUUGUUAGUUGCCAGCGAGUCAUGUCGGGAACUCUAACAAGACUGCCAGUGCAAACUGUGAGGAAGGUGGGGAUGACGUCAAAUCAUCACGGCCCUUACGCCUUGGGC